rnacentral:rRNA from 1 species
UACGGAAGGCAGCAGUGGGGAAUAUUGCACAAUGGGCGCAAGCCUGAUGCAGCCAUGCCGCGUGUAUGAAGAAGGCCUUCGGGUUGUAAAGUACUUUCAGUCGUGAGGAAGGUGUUAAGGUUAAUAACCUUAGCAAUUGACGUUAGCGACAGAAGAAGCACCGGCUAACUCCGUGCCAGCAGCCGCGGUAAUACGGAGGGUGCGAGCGUUAAUCGGAAUUACUGGGCGUAAAGGGCACGCAGGCGGUUAAUUAAGUUGGAUGUGAAAUCCCCGGGCUUAACCUGGGAAUGGCAUUCAAGACUGGUUAGCUAGAGUCUUGUAGAGGGGGUAGAAUUCCAUGUGUAGCGGUGAAAUGCGUAGAGAUGUGGAGGAAUACCGGUGGCGAAGGCGGCCCCUGGGACAAGACUGACGCUCAUGUGCGAAAGCGUGGGGAGCAAACAGGGAUUAGAUACC